CACAAAAGGAAGAAACCCAUGAUCGUGCUCAAACUAGAUUUCCAGAAAACUUUCGAUACUGUCAGUUGGGAUGCACUACAGAAAUUUUUUGUGGCCAGAGGCUUCGAACAACGCUGGACCAAGUGGAUAUCCACCAUUUUUAAUUCCAGCUCCGCACAGAUCAUGAUGAAUGGCCACCUCAGAGAGAAGAUCAUGUCCAAAUGCAGUCUAAGGCAGGGAGAUGCCCUCUCGCCACACCUCUUCAUUUUGGUUGCAAAUGUUCUGCAACAGCUA
rnacentral:rRNA from 1 species